rnacentral:sRNA from 1 species
UAUUCUGCCCCACGGGGAAGGAUGAGAAGCUUCGACUAAGGUUCGACUCGAGCGAAGCGAGAGAACGUUGCCGCAGGCAACGGCCCGAAGGGCGAGGAGCUUUAGCGCCGAGUUAUCCUUCCCCCACCACCA